rnacentral:rRNA from 1 species
UACGUAGGGCGCAAGCGUUGUCCGGAAUUAUUGGGCGUAAAGAGCUCGUAGGCGGUUUGUCGCGUCUGCUGUGAAAACUCGGGGCUUAACCCCGGGCCUGCAGUGGGUACGGGCAGACUAGAGUGCGGUAGGGGGAGACUGGAAUUCCUGGUGUAGCGGUGAAAUGCGCAGAUAUCAGGAGGAACACCGGUGGCGAAGGCGGGUCUCUGGGCCGUAACUGACGCUGAGGAGCGAAAGCGUGGGGAGCGAACAGG